AGAAGUGGGCAUCUGCUGACAUGGGGGCCGAAGUCAGGCGCCAGGCAGCGGGCACUUUGCAUCUUAUCUNUUGACAGCCUUGGGUGUCAGGCU
rnacentral:miRNA from 1 species